ACAGACACUUUUUCAGCACGUCAAAGUUUUGAAAUCAUUUCUUAAAAAAGAUACAGAAAGUGUUGGGAUCAGGUCUAUGCAAACAAGCUAUAAAUUAUUGUAAUAACAAAUUUGUUUUAUGGUCUAGCUCUGUUUAGGAUGAACUCAUUGGUUUUGACAGAAAGCUUUGUCAUUUAACAUUUUUCGAAAGUUCCUCUCGGUGGUGAUGUCUUGAUUUAAAAUCUAUUUUAAAUGAACUCAACAGCGGCCGGACUCAGGUCACCCACGGACCAGAUGUGGCCCCCGAGCCGCUAUUUGAAUAGCUCUGGUUUAGAUGAGUUGAAAAAAAUAAUAGAACCAUCAUUCAUUACACUAAUGACAUUUGUUUUCCACAGACGCUCUUGGUGUGAAAAUGCACCAACCUGACAGUGUGUGGGCGUGGCUCGAUCACGUGACGGGAUCGCUCAGAGCCAAAAGCAGGAUGGAUAAACUUUACUGAUCAAGCGAAGAUGCCUCGCAAAGGGAACGAAGCAUGAGUAGGAACUAAAGAUGCUCACCAUGUCUGGCAGCAAAUCUCCAGGCAGAGAGGGAAAAAUAAAACAAGUGGAGAAGUAGGUCAGACAUGGAGAGGACACUGAGCCAGAAGCAUCUGAAGGAGCACAGAGAAAAGCCAGACGAGGAACAGAAACUGAAACUGCAGUGAAAAAAGUGAAAACACAAGAAUAUAAUUGAGGUAGAGAAUAUCAGGAUGAGGAAGCUGAGGCUGCAGAUGAACUGCUCUCAUAUCUUCUCAGGAUGAUUUUAUCAAGCUGUGUGAUGAUACCUCUACGUUCUUCCAAAAAAGGUAGAGGAAAAUGUGAAAAAAAAAAAACAUCGACUUCAGUAUUCUUCCUGCACUGCUGACUUGAUUUAAAUUAGGAAAAACACAUAAGCCGAACCUCCUGGAUAUCCGUAGGAAUUAAAUGGAGAAGCACUUUUCAAAACAUCAAGAGAACACAGUGACUCAUACAUGUGUAACACAUUUAGAAACCCUACCCUCCACGUUUUAGCUGUUUCUCUGCACCCACACGCCUGAUUCAGUAGUUGAAUUAACUCCUUGGUGUGUCAUCAAGUUCUGAAAAAGCUUGUUAAUCACAAUGCAUUUAAAUCAGGUGUGCUGGAGGAGAGAAACAUCGAAAACAGGCUGGACCUCGAGUAUCAGAAUUGGACAGCACUGGUCUACACCAAUCGUAGAUCGUUCACUUUUAAAAUUUGAAGAUGGUGAAACCGAAGAAUCAAAAUGAUCUGAUCUUCUAUUAUUUGUGAAUGAAAAGGAACAGUGAAGUCGUACACUUCAUUUGGGACGUGUACAUUGCUGGCCUGCAUUACCAUCCACCUUUUUAUUUAA